rnacentral:rRNA from 1 species
UACAGAGGGUGCGAGCGUUAAUCGGAAUUACUGGGCGUAAAGCGUGCGUAGACGGUUAUGUAAGUUAGGUGUGAAAGCCCCGGGCUCAACCUGGGAAUUGCAUUUGUGACUGCAAGGCUAGAGUACGGUAGAGGGGGAUGGAAUUCCGCGUGUAGCAGUGAAAUGCGUAGAUAUGCGGAGGAACACCGAUGGCGAAGGCAAUCCCCUGGACCUGUACUGACGCUCAUGCACGAAAGCGUGGGGAGCAAACAGG